CCCUUGCAUAAACAAUGUGGGUUGUCGUGUCACGUUGUAGGUUACUAAUAACCCCCCCUCGUUCCUGUAUUUUCUUCUUUAAUAUUUGAACUUGGGUGCGAAUUUGCUUCUUGGGCAUAAAAUAAAAUUCAUAGCCAUCAAACACCUUUCAAUUUUCGGUUACUAGCUAAUAAAUGAAUUGAGUAAUUGACUGUAAUUUUG